UUUUGUUUUUAUUUAUUAUUUAUGUAUUUAUUUAUUUAUUUAUUUAUUUAAAUUUACAAAUUUAUUUUUUAUUGGUGUUCAAUUUGCCAACAUAUAGAAUAACACCCAGUGCUCAUCCCAAAGGCAGAGUCUUGUAGAGAGAUUUGUACACCCCUGUUCAUAGCAUUAUUCACAACAAUCAAAAAGUAGAAGCAACCCCAGUGUCCAUUGAUGGACGAAAGGAUAAAUAAAAUAUGAUGUAUACAUACAAUGGAAUAUUGUUCAGUUUUAAAAAGGAAGGAAAUUCUGACACAUGCUACAACAUCAAUGAACUUUAAGGACAUACUAAGUAAAGCAAGCCAGUCACAAAAAGACAAAUACUAUAUGUAUUUGUCCACUAAUAUGUUAUCCAGAGUUCAUACACAGAAAGUAGAAAGGUGGUUGUGAGGGGCUUAACAUUAGGAAGAAUGGGGAAUUGCUUUUUAAUGGGUAUAGAGCCAUAGUUUAUGCAAGACAUAAAAGGGUUCUGGAGUCCUGAGAUAGGUUGCACAGUAGUAUGAAUGUACUAAACACUUUCGAAGUAUAUGCUUAAAAAUGGUUAUGAUGACUCUUUAAAAAUUAAGGCAAUAGAUCCCCAUACUUAAGAAGGUUGAAAUUUGGAGUCACUUAGACCCAUGUAAUGGCUGUUUAACUUGGAUAAGCCACUAAUUUCUCUAAACCUGGCUCUUCAUGUACAAAAGUAGAUGAUAAUACCCUCUCUUAUGGUUUUGGGCACAUCAAAUAAAAUACUUAAACAUCUUAGGACAAUGCUUGCACAUGAUCAACACUCAAUGAUACAUGGUGAUGGUAAGACAGAGCUACUGUUGUAUGUACACAAGCUUGGGGAGGAUGUAAGGGAAACAGGCCUUCCAACUCAGGAGUUUACACCUGCAUUCUCAUGAAAAGUCAACAUAUAUAUAUAUAUAUAUAUAUAUAUAUAUAUAUAUAUAUAUAUAUAUUUUAUGAUAGUCACAGAGAGAGAGAGAGAGAGAGAGGCAGAGACACAGGCUGAGGGAGAAGCAGGCUUCCCGCAAAGAGCCCGAUGUGGGACUCGAUCCCAGAUCCCGAGAUCAGGACCUGAGCCAAAGGCAGACGCUCAACCGCUGAGCCACCCAGGCAUCCCAUCCACUGGUCUAUUUUGCUUCAAUACCACACAUCUGCAUACUGUAAUUUUAAAACUUGGUACCAUGCUAGUUUAAGUUUCCCACCUCAGUUCUUUGCCAGAAUUAUCUUGACUAGAAAUUGGCAAACCAACAGUGUAACUAAUAACUGAUUUUGCAAGUAAAGACUUUUUGGAAAACAAUAAUUUCUUCUCAUUCUCAUAUUAUUUAUGACUGUUUCCUGGCUACAAUGGCAGGGUUGGGCAGUUGUAAUAGGGAUAUUCUGGUCCACAAAGCUUAAGGUAAUUUCAUCUGAUAUCUGGUCUUGAUGACAUGUGAUUCUUUACAUUCCCAUAUAAAUUUUACAGUUAGUUUUUUUUAAGGUGUAGAAAAAGAACUAGGAUUGUUAUGUAGGAUUACACUGAAUUUACAGGCCAUUUUAGAGGAGACUUCACAUGUUGCUUUACUGACUAUCCCAGUCCAUGGAUAUGGCACAUCCCUCUUUUUAAAUUUAAGAUCUUUGAUUUCUCUUAGCAAUAUAUUUUUCUUGACAUUCUAAAAUAUUUUGUUAUUCCUUUUCUUGGUGUUGUAUUUCUAAUACUAGUGUAUAUGCAUUUAAAAGUUUUCAUUUUCUAAUGUUUUGUUACUUGUAGAUAGAAAUACAGUUGAUUUUUGUAUAUAGACUUUGUGUUGUAUUUUUAUCAAAAACAGGUGUUGACUUUAUCAAGUGCAUUGCCUGCAUUUGUUGAAGUAAUCACAUGGGUUUUCUUUAUGCAGUUAAUGAAGUGAACAUAUUAAAUUUGCUAAUGUUAAUUCAAUAUUUUAUUCUUCAAAUAUAUACCACUUGGUCUUUAUGUAUCACAUUUUUAUAUAUGGUUGGGUUUUAUUUGCUAACAUUUAGUUUGGAAUUUUUGUUUCUAUGUUCAUAAGAGGUAUUAUCCUUUAUAGCUUUCUUCUAAUUAGCUUUCUUCUAAUGUCUUUGUCAGAUUUUGUUUUUAGAAUAUGUUAGCCUCAUAAAAUGAGUUAGGAAGUAUUCUUUCCUAUUCUAUCAAAGACUUAGUAUAUGUUUAUCCCUUAAAUAUUUGGGGAAAAUCACAAAUGAAGCCAUCUGGUCCUGAAAUUUUCUUUGUGUGAUGGUUUAAUUUAAUUAAAUUCAAUUUCUUUAAUAUUUAUAGGACUAGGAAUGCUUGGGUGGCUCAGCAGUUGAGCAUCUACCUUUGGCUCAGGACAUGAUCCUGGGAUCCAGGAUCGAGUCCCACAUCGGGCUCCCUGCAUGGAGCCUGCU
rnacentral:lncRNA from 1 species